rnacentral:rRNA from 1 species
AGAGUUUGAUCCUGGCUCAGGACGAACGCUGGCGGCGUGCUUAACACAUGCAAGUCGAACGAUGACCUCCAGCUUGCUGGGGUGAUUAGUGGCGAACGGGUGAGUAACACGUGAGUAACCUGCCCUCCACUCUGGGAUAAGCACUGGAAACGGUGUCUAAUACCGGAUAUGAGCUUCCGCCGCAUGGUGAGGAGCUGGAAAGAAUUUUGGUGGGGGAUGGACUCGCGGCCUAUCAGGUAGUUGGUGAGGUAAUGGCUCACCAAGCCGACGACGGGUAGCCGGCCUGAGAGGGUGACCGGCCACACUGGGACUGAGACACGGCCCAGACUCCUACGGGAGGCAGCAGUGGGGAAUAUUGCACAAUGGGCGAAAGCCUGAUGCAGCAACGCCGCGUGAGGGACGACGGCCUUCGGGUUGUAAACCUCUUUUAGUAGGGAAGAAGCGAAAGUGACGGUACCUGCAGAAAAAGCACCGGCUAACUACGUGCCAGCAGCCGCGGUAAUACGUAGGGUGCAAGCGUUGUCCGGAAUUAUUGGGCGUUAAGAGCUCGUAGCGGUUUGUCGCGUCUGCUGUGAAAUCCGGAGGCUCAA